rnacentral:rRNA from 1 species
UGCGCAGGCGGUCUCUUAAGACAGGUGUGAAAUCCCCGGGCUUAACCUGGGAACUGCGCUUGUAACUGAGAGGCUUGAGUGUGCCAGAGGGGGGUGGGAAUUCCACGUGUAGCAGUGAAAUGCGUAGAGAUGUGGAGGAACACCGAUGGCGAAGGCAGCCCCCUCGGGGUAACGACUGACGCUCAUGCACGAAAGCGUGGGGGAGCAAACA